GUUGAAGAAAAAAGACUUCGGAUCUUUUAUGUUGGAUUUUCCCUUCAACU
rnacentral:tRNA from 1 species